UGGGCAACCUGCCCUCAGCUCUGGGAUAACUCCAAGAAAUUGGGGCUAAUACCGGAUAUGACCGCUGACCGCAUGGUCUGGUGGUGGAAAGAUUUAUCGGCUGGGGAUGGGCCCGCGGCCUAUCAGCUUGUUGGUGGGGUAGUGGCCUACCAAGGCGACGACGGGUAGCCGGCCUGAGAGGGUGACCGGCCACACUGGGACUGAGAUACGGUCCAGACUCCUACGGGAA
rnacentral:rRNA from 1 species